GCUCACUUGGUGAAAUAGGUAGACACGACAGACUUAAAAUCUGUUCCCGCAAGGGGCAUCGGUUCAAGUCCGAUAGUGAGCA
rnacentral:tRNA from 1 species